CUCCGCGUGCCUAAUGAUAAGGCUUCUGACUUCGAAACAGAAGAUGCAGGUUCGAGUCCUGUCCGGAGA
rnacentral:tRNA from 13 species